CCUACGGGCGGCAGCAGUGGGGAAUAUUGGACAAUGGGGGCAACCCUGAUCCAGCCAUGCCGCGUGUGUGAAGAAGGCCCUCGGGUUGUAAAGCACUUUCAGUGAGGAAGAACGCCUGGUGGUUAAUACCCAUCAGGAAAGACAUCACUCACAGAAGAAGCACCGGCUAACUCCGUGCCAGCAGCCGCGGUAAUACGGAGGGUGCGAGCGUUAAUCGGAAUUACUGGGCGUAAAGCGCGCGUAGGUGGCUUGAUAAGCCGGUUGUGAAAGCCCCGGGCUCAACCUGGGAACGGCAUCCGGAACUGUCAAGGUAGAGUGCAGGAGAGGAAGGUAGAAUUCCCGGUGUAGCGGUGAAAUGCGUAGAGAUCGGGAGGAAUACCAGUGGCGAAGGCGGCCUUCUGGACUGACACUGACACUGAGGUGCGAAAGCGUGGGUAGCAAACAGGAUUAGAUACCCUAGUAGUC
rnacentral:rRNA from 1 species